AACGUAGGAGACGAGCGUUAUCCGGAUUUACUGGGCGUAAAGCGUGUGCAGGCGGUUCGGCAAGUUGGAUGUGAAAUCUCCCGGCUCAACUGGGAGGGGUCGUUCAAUACUACCGAACUUGAGGUCAUCAGAGGAAGAUGGAAUUCCCGGUGUAGUGGUGAAAUGCGUAGAUAUCGGGAGGAACACCAGUGGCGAAGGCGGUCUUCUGGGAUGAUCCUGACGCUCAGACACGAAAGCUAGGGGAGCGAACGGGAUUAGAGACCCCGGUAGUCCUAGCUGUAAACGAUGUAGACUUGGCGUCGGAGGGUUCAAAACCUUCGGUGUCGUAGCUAACGCGAUAAGUCUACCGCCUGGGGACUACGGCCGCAAGGUUAAA
rnacentral:rRNA from 1 species